CAAACUGAAGCACAAAAUGACGUAGUUGAUGAUCCGAUCCGUAAUGUGGGUGACGCUCCGCGAAGGAUCGCCGAACCCAAUUGUCCACCGGGACACACCUUCCAAAGGGGAUUUUGCAGGCCUAAUUAUUACUCUGAAAGGUUUGGUGGCUGAAGAUUUUUCACUCCUCGACCUGACCUGCCCCAACACGCGCCUGCAGACCCAAGAACCACCGUUUUAUGUGUAAAAUCGGCUUUUCCAUAUUUUUCCUUCGACGUCAAGCGACGAGCUUUGGCGUCUGCCACGCCCCAAAAUGUAUUUUUUCCAAUCACUGACUGACUGUCAAUAAUUGACACCCCAAGUGGCGUCAAAUCCACCCCUUUCGCCGAAGACGAAUAUUAAUAGAGCUGAGUUUUUUUUCUAAUAAAACUUCUUAAAAUUAAAUUAAUUUCUGCUUUUUGUUUGAACAUCUCUUCGUCCCUUUUUUUAAUGCCCCCGUCGCGAGACACUCGGCAAUAUUUUCCCGCGCAAAAAAAAUCCCGCCUCCACUUAACCGGCCCUACCUUGGUAACCUUGGUUCUUAAAACUUGUUUGGAAUUGUGGGGAAGCCCUCGUGCUCUUGGAGCAGCGAUAAAAUCGAGACUCAAGCUGCGGGUUAUUGCACUCAAGUGUAUUGUGAAAAUGAAUAAAGGAAAAUCCAGACA